UGGGGAAUAUUGGACAAUGGGGGGAACCCUGAUCCAGCCAUGCCGCGUGUGUGAAGAAGGCCUUAUGGUUGUAAAGCACUUUAAGCGAGGAGGAGGGUACUGGUAUUAAUACUACCAGGUACUGGACGUUACUCGCAGAAUAAGCACCGGCUAACUCUGUGCCAGCAGCCGCGGUAAUACAGAGGGUGCGAGCGUUAAUCGGAUUUACUGGGCGUAAAGCGUGCGUAGGCGGCUAAUUGAGUCGGAUGUGAAAUCCCCGAGCUUAACUUGGGAAUUGCAUUCGAUACUGGUUAGCUAGAGUGUGGGAGAGGAUGGUAGAAUUCCAGGUGUAGCGGUGAAAUGCGUAGAGAUCUGGAGGAAUACCGAUGGCGAAGGCAGCCAUCUGGACUAACACUGACGCUGAGGUACGAAAGCAUGGGGAGCAAACAGG
rnacentral:rRNA from 1 species